AGAUGGGACAUUAAUACGUUGAUAAGGAAAUUAUUAUGAGAAAAAAUUGUCCUGAUAACCCCUACGCACAUGUCAUCCACUCUUUGCCCAUUCAAGCACUGUCCAAUCCCCUGGAGCCCAGCCCUAGCAGGCUGCACACUGUCCAAUCUCCUGGGCCCCAUCCUUCCUGGAUCACAAACUAGCUGAUCACAGAGGGAAACAUUCAUUACACAUAUUUUCCAACAACACCCUGUACCCUCCUGUCCCAGAGCCCAUACGCUGGUCUCCUCACAUCAUAUAGAAGGAAUCAUAGACCCGGUUCCUGAUCUCUAUGGCCCCUAUAGUAUGCAAGCAAUUCAAAUACAUUACAUUUCAUACUUGAAGCUAUUUUUAAAAUGUAACCUAUUUCAAUGAUUCCCCACCCCCAGCCCGUCAUGCAUUGGAGUACAAAUGUAAAAAAACUGAGGCAGUGGUAAGUUAAUUUGUAUCAUUCACCCACACCACCUUCAGAAAGCUUGUAUGGAAUCUUUCCUCCUCAACUUGUUUUCCUAUCUCUUCCUGCCAGGUCUGCACAUGCAGGCACCUCCCUGUCUCCACCCAGAUACGGUACUAGUAUUAAUCUGCCUAUGUAACCCCACAAUUUGUAUCUUGUAGCCUGCUGUGUUUAGUUUCUGUUCCCUCUUGUUUUGUGGGCCUUGUGGCUUGUUAUUUUACAGUCUAGUAUUAAGGUUAUCACUCAUCGCUAAUCGUCUCUGCUGCCCUUUGGGUAAAACUUCUUCUAUAUUUCAUCACACUUGCCACAAUAUUGGAUUUUUUUACUUCGCAAAAAAAUCAUUGUUUUAAAUGAGAUCAGGUUUUUUAUCUUCUCUGUAAAAAUGCAUUUUUGCAAGCCAGAUGCUCCUCAGUUGUCAGGAGCAACAAUUAUAUUUUUAAAACAUUCGUAACACACCCUUGUCCUUCCUUGCUGAUAUCUCCAGAUCCUCUCUCGUCUCGGUGACAUCAUCCAUGAUGGAGAUCAUUUGGGGUUCUGGUCACCUAACUAUAGGAAGGAUAUCAGUAAGAUUGAAAGUACAGAGGAGAUUUACUGGGAUGUUGCUGGGCCUUCAGGAGUUGAGUUACAGAGAAAGGUUAAAUAGGUUAGGACUUUACUCCUGGAACGUAGAAGAAUGAGGGGAGAUUUGAUAGAGGUUUACAAAAUAAUGAGGGGUAUAGAAAGAGUAAAUGUGAGUAGGCUCUUUCCACUUAGAUUAGGAGAGAUAAAUACGAGAGGACAUGGCUUUAGGGUGAAAGGUGAAAGAGUUAGAGGGAACUUCUUCACUCAGAGAGUGGUGGGAGUGUGGAACGAGCUGCUAUCUGACGUGGUAAAUGCGGACUCACUCUUAAGUUUUAAGAACAAAUUUGAUAGAUACAUCGAUGGGAGAGGUCUGGAGGGUUAUGGACUGGGUGUGGGUCAAUGGGACUACCGCAGACAACCCCAAUACGCGGACCGCGGGCCAGGUCUGGACCGCGAGAACCAAAUGUCUGGACUGCGCCAACCCAUUGGCACUUACAUGAACGCACCUGUCAUAACAUGUAAAUAAAGUGCGCGCUGCUUAAUUUAUUUUAACCUCAUCCCACUCUGUACACUCGACCCACGCCCCCACAGAAGCACGCAACCUACAGCGCACUUUCUACGGUCCUCAACUAGACAGCAGCACGCACCAGCUACCCAGCUGUCAUCUAAGAAGUGAAUCUGUCAUCUAAAAGUGAAACUGUCAUUAAGUGAAUUGUUACCAGCAGUAAGACAUGGGCCCUAAGCCAAUAACAACAUGGCCUGUGCAAAAAAGCGCAAAGUCGACGAGGAAAACAGUCAGUUCAAAUCUGACUGGACUGAUCAGUUUUGUUUUAUUUUACCGGACCAUAUCAAUGCUAAACCUACAUGCUUAAUAUGCAUACAGUCCGUGGCUGUCUGCAAAUCGGAAAAUCUAAAGCGGCACUUCAACACUACGCAUGCUGCCAGUUUUAAUGCCAAAUACCCUGCAAAAUCAGAUCAACGCAAGUAUGAUAUCAUAAAGCACUCCGUUUCUACUAUCUAUAAAGAGAUUCAAAGAUAUUCAAAAAACUUUAUUGUCAUUCUAACCAUAAAUCAGCUCUGCAGGGCAGAAUGCGACAGCGUUUCUCAGGGGCAGUGCAAUCAUAACAUAACAAACGCAACACUAAAUAAUAAACAUUACAAUAACUAGUAAAACACAACAGCCACAUGUCAGGUAAAAUCAGUUAUAAGUGUCCAGUGCAAGUUAAAAGUGUCCAAAGCAGAGUCAGGCAGAGCAGCUGUUUAGCAAUCUGACUGCCUGUGGGAGGAAGCUGUUUAGUAGCCUUGUGGUUUUAGUUUUAAUGCUCCUGUAACGUUUGCCUGAUGGCAGAAGAACAAGCAGUUCAUGGAGAGGGUGUGAGGGAUCUUUAAUGAUGUACCGUGUCUUCUGGAGGCAUCGACUCUGAAAGAGGUCUUGGACAGAAGGUAGGGAGACCCCAAUAACCUUCCCUGCUCCCCUAACCACCCUCUGCAAGAUUUGUUUGUCGACAGCACGGCAGCUGGAGUACCAGGUUGUGAUGCUAAAGGUCAGCACACUCUCAACCACACCUCUGUAGAAUGUAGUUAAGAUGUUAGUGGGGAGAGAUGCUUGUUUAAGCUUCCUCAGAAAGUGCAAUCUCUGCUGGGCCCAUUUCACAAUCCCAGUGGUGUUCCUGGACCAGGUGAGAUUGUCCGAGAUCUGCACCCCAAGGAACUUGAUGUUUUCCACUCUCUCCACUGUGGAGCCACUGAUGCUGAGGGGUGUACGCUCAGGCUGAGACCGUCUGAAAUCGACAAUCAUCUCCUUGGUCUUGGUGACAUUAAGCAUCAAGUUAUUAUCCCUGCACCAGCUCUCUAGGUGUUUGACCUCCUCCCUGUACAUAGUUUCAUCAUUUUUGCUGAUGAGCCCCACCACUGUGGUAUCAUCAGCAAAUUUAAUGAUCAGGUUCUCCUUGAAUCUGGCUGCACAGUCAUGUGUUAGCAGUGUAAACAGCAAUGGGCUAAGCACACAGCCUUGUGGGGAUCCAGUGCUCAGUGUGAUGGAGUCAGAGAUGUUCCUGCCAACACGGACUGACUGUGGUCUCUCUGUCAAGAAAUCCAGAAUCCAGCGACACAUGGCAGUGCUAAGGCCAAGCAGCGACAGUUUCUCCACUAGUCUCUGCGGGAUGAUGGUAUUGAAUCCUGAACUGAAAUCAAUGUACAGGAUUCUGGCAUAAGUGUCUUUGUUGUCCAAGUGAGAGAGAACUGUGUGCAGUGUGGUGGAUAUUGCGUCAUCCGUAGAGCGAUUUGGACGAUAAGCAAACUGUAGAGGAUCCAGUAAUAAAUCAACAUCUGCACAAGAGAGCACAACAGCUGCAUCAUUGCAUAUGUCAUGGAAUCUUGCCAAAGCUAAGAAGCCAUUCGCUGAUGCCGAGUUGAUUAAAACGUGUGCAAUUGAUACGGUUGGUGAAGUUUUAGGUCAUGUUGAGAAAACCAAGAAAACUGUUGUGGAGCUAUUAAAGACAGUGCCAUUGUCGGCUAACAUGGCAACAAGUAGUGUAGAAGUUUUAGCGGAGGAGCAUUUCCAAUCUACUCACCGAUUUGCAGAAAGCAGAAGCCAUAUCACUAGUCAUAGACUCGUCCUGUGACUGAACUGAUAUGGAAGAGCCAUCUGUGUUUGCAAGAUUUUUUGAUGGGAAGACCUUUCGGGAAAGCUACUUGCUUUGCUUCCUCUGCCUGGGCGUAUGACUGGGGAAAGCAUUUUUAACGAAUUGACACAAUUGGAUGUGAGCAAAAUUAUGUCCGUUGUCACCGACAGGGCUUCGUUGACGGUGGGACAACACAUGGGCUUGGUAAGCAGGUUUGCCGCUGUUAACCCAGCACUCUUGGCAUUUCAUUGAAUUAUUCACAAAUCAGUGUUGUGCGCUAAACUGUAUGGGGAAAUGAUGGAUACUGUGACGAGACUGGUAAAUUUUGUUCGUGAGAGUUGUCUGCAACAUCGCCUUUUCAGAGCAUUGCUGGAGGAAAUGUCAGUGGAACACAAAGGUCUUUGGCUGCAUAAUGAUGUUCACUGGCUAAGCAAAGGCCGUGUGUUGGAGAGAGUGUGCGACCUGCGUGAUGAGCUUGUGUCAUUUUUAUCCAGCCUGUAGAGCCAAAAAGCCCGAGGAUUUCAGAGGUUUUUAAGUGACAAGGUGAUGGCACAUGUUCUUUUUCGUGUGAUGUCAUGUCUCACCUAAAUCAACUUAAUCUGCAAUUACAAGGCAACAACCACUCUGUUGCGGACAUGUACGAGGCGAUUGAAGCUUUCUGGUCAAAGCUGAACCUUUUAGAGAGAGACAUUCACGGGAGAAAGUUGCACUUUCCACGUCUGCGGGAGCCUUGUGAGAAGAACAAAAUGUGGGAGGAUCCAGUGAUGAAGGAUUUUGUGAUGAGCCUGGCAGAAAACGUCAGGGAACGAUUUGAAAGCUCCCCUAAACUCUCAAGUGGCAUCCUUCUCUUCUUGAGACAACCGUUCUCUGUUUCGGCUGACGGCCAGUGAACUGCAGAGGCCAAAAGGCUGGUGCCUUCCAUAGAUGAGGCAACUCUUCAGAUGGAGGUCUUGGAAAUAGGAACAUCUGAUUUGCUCAAAGCACAACACAAGGACGUUGGGGUGAGUGACUUUUGGAUCAACUUGGUUCCCCAAGCUCAAUUCAAAAACACAAGAGCUAUUGCAAUGCUCCUACUCACACUGUUCCCCUCCACGUACAUAUGUGAGUCAUCGUUUUCUUCAAAGAACUCUAUCAAGAACCAGGACAGAAACAGACUCUCCAAUGCACAUCUCGGCCAGUGCCUCAGGAUUCCCACAACAGAAUACAGGCCCGACAUCAGAAGGAUUACCUCAUCUCGUCACUGUCACUUCUCUCACUGAUUGUGCCUUGAUAGUGUGAGCAGACAGUGAUGGAGAGGAACGUGAUGGAUGACUUCUCUCAGUAUAUUACCUCAUGUGUACCCUCCUGAUUCUGAUCCCAGCAAGUCAGCAUUAUGGUUGCAGAGAUACUGAUCGUACAUGUUCAAACUCUACCUGGGCUGAAAUUGGCAACAAGGACGUGAUGAAGCAAAUCUGCUCCUGAUUAUUGCGUUCAAGGACUGUCGUUCAGCAGGCCCAUGAACUUGCUCUUCUGAGACAAGUUGUUCAAGGUACUGCAGUGGGGGCCCUCAACUCACAGGUAGGAGGGUCUAUCCCCCACGGCUAGAAGUUUCUUCUAGAACAACACUGGGCUGUGCUAGAGACCCCAGCCUUGGAAUCACACGUUCGUCACCUUUUUUUAUUAUUCG